rnacentral:rRNA from 1 species
GUGGGGAAUAUUGGACAAUGGGCGAAAGCCUGAUCCAGCAAUGCCGCGUGAGUGAUGAAGGCCUUAGGGUUGUAAAGCUCUUUUACCAGGGAUGAUAAUGACAGUACCUGGAGAAUAAGCUCCGGCUAACUCCGUGCCAGCAGCCGCGGUAAUACGGAGGGAGCUAGCGUUGUUCGGAAUUACUGGGCGUAAAGCGCACGUAGGCGGUUACUCAAGUCAGAGGUGAAAGCCCGGGGCUCAACCCCGGAACUGCCUUUGAAACUAGGUAACUGGAAUCUUGGAGAGGUCAGUGGAAUUCCGAGUGUAGAGGUGAAAUUCGUAGAUAUUCGGAAGAACACCAGUGGCGAAGGCGACUGACUGGACAAGUAUUGACGCUGAGGUGCGAAAGCGUGGGGAGCAAACAGGAUUAGAAACCCCAGUAGUCC